GGAGGAGUGCCGGAGCGGUCUAACGGCGCCGUCUUGAAAACGGAUGGGCAGCGAUGCCACGGGGGUUCGAAUCCCUCCUCCUCCGCCA
rnacentral:tRNA from 1 species